UACGUAGGGGGCAAGCGUUGUCCGGAAUCAUUGGGCGUAAAGAGCGCGUAGGCGGCCCGGUAAGUCCGCUGUGAAAGUCAAAGGCUCAACCUUUGAAUGUCAGCGGAUACUGCCGGGCUAGAGUCCGGAAGAGGCGAGUGGAACUCCUGGUGUAGCGGUGGAAUGCGCAGAUAUCAGGAAGAACACCAACGGCGAAGGCAGCUCGCUGGGACGGAACUGACGCUGAGGCGCGAAAGCGUGGGGAGCAAACAGG
rnacentral:rRNA from 1 species